UGAGGAAUAUUGGUCAAUGGACGCGAGUCUGAACCAGCCAUGCCGCGUGAAGGAUGAAGGCGUUCUGCGUUGUAAACUUCUUUUGCGGGGGAAGAAACCUUGAUAUUCUUAUCAAGCCGACGGUACCCCGAGAAUAAGCACCGGCUAACUCCGUGCCAGCAGCCGCGGUAAUACGGAGGGUGCAAGCGUUAUCCGGAUUUACUGGGUUUAAAGGGUGUGUAGGCGGAUUAUUAAGUCAGUGGUGAAAUCUCUGGGCUUAACCCAGAAAUUGCCAUUGAUACUGUAGGGCUUGAGUACAGUUGCUGUGGGCGGAAUAUGACAUGUAGCGGUGAAAUGCUAAGAUAUAACAUAGAACACCAAUUGCGAAAGCAGCUUACUACGGAUUGAUUGACACUGAGGCAAGAAAGCGUGGUGAUCAAACA
rnacentral:rRNA from 1 species